rnacentral:rRNA from 1 species
UAGGGAAUCUUCGGCAAUGGGGGCAACCCUGACCGAGCAACGCCGCGUGAGUGAAGAAGGUUUUCGGAUCGUAAAGCUCUGUUGUAAGUCAAGAACGAGUGUGAGAGUGGAAAGUUCACACUGUGACGGUAGCUUACCAGAAAGGGACGGCUAACUACGUGCCAGCAGCCGCGGUAAUACGUAGGUCCCGAGCGUUGUCCGGAUUUAUUGGGCGUAAAGCGAGCGCAGGCGGUUAGAUAAGUCUGAAGUUAAAGGCUGUGGCUUAACCAUAGUACGCUUUGGAAACUGUUUAACUUGAGUGCAAGAGGGGAGAGUGGAAUUCCAUGUGUAGCGGUGAAAUGCGUAGAUAUAUGGAGGAACACCGGUGGCGAAAGCGGCUCUCUGGUCUGUAACUGACGCUGAGGCUCGAAAGCGUGGGGAGCGAACAGGAUUAGAUACCCUGGUAGUCCACGCCGUANCGAUGAGUGCUAGGUGUUGGAUCCUUUCCGGGAUUCAGUGCCGCAGCUAACGCAUUAAGCACUCCGCCUGGGGAGUACGACCGCAAGGUUG